CAGGUAUCGAAAGUAGCCGAUACUAGCAAUUUAAGUACUCACUUCCGGUAUCGAAAAUUGAAAUUUUGUGUUCAUUUUGGUAUCGAAAUCGGUAUCGGCCGAUACCGAUCUUAAAAGUAUCGGUAUCGAAUUAAAAAUCCUGGUAUCGCCCAUCACUAUCCGGCAGUCAAAACUUCGGCUCCGGCAAGAAAUUUUUAAGGAAAUUCCAUAUUUAAAAGUGGAAGCAGGCAAAAGUAUUGGUAAUCGUUCCAUGUUUCACGCACCAAUAUAGUAAACGUUAUGUAAUGGAUAUUAUAUUGCACUGAAAAGUUAACUGGAUACUUCCAUACACAUAUAUACACACCCUAAACCUAACCCCUAACCUAACCCCUAAUACCUAACCCCUAGCCCUAACUUAUAUUGGUGCGCGAAACAUGGAACGAUAACCAAAGUAUUUCAG